rnacentral:rRNA from 1 species
ACGCUCGACACCUACGGGGGGCAGCAGUGGGGAAUAUUGCACAAUGGGGGAAACCCUGAUGCAGCGACGCCGCGUGAGCGAAGAAGUAUUUCGGUAUGUAAAGCUCUAUCAGCAGGGAAGAAACUGACGGUACCUGACUAAGAAGCACCGGCUAAAUACGUGCCAGCAGCCGACGGUAAUCNGAGGCGGGCUGGACAAGGC